rnacentral:rRNA from 1 species
UGGGGAAUAUUGCACAAUGGGCGCAAGCCUGAUGCAGCCAUGCCGAGUGUAUGAAGAAGGCCUUCGGGUUGUAAAGUACUUUCAGAGGGGAGGAAGGGAGUAAAGUUAAUAACUUUGCUCAUUGACGUUACCCGCAGAAGAAGCACCGGCUAACUCCGUGCCAGCAGCCGUGGUAAUACGGAGGGUGCAAGCGUUAAUCGGAAUUACUGGGCGUACAGCGCACGCAGGCGGUUUGUUAAGUCAGAUGUGAAAUCCCCGGGCGCAACCUGGGAAUUGCAUCUGAUACUGGCAAGCUGGAGUCUCGUAGAGGGGGGUAGAAUUCCAGGUGGAGCUGUGAAAUGCGUAGAGAUCUGGAGGAAUACCGGUGGCGAAGGCGGCCCCCUGUACGGAGACUGACGCUCAGGUGCGAAAGCGUGGGGAGCAAACAGG